GGUCUUAUGGUCUAGUGGUGUAAGUUCAACAGCUUCAACAGCUUCACAGCAAUAACUAAUAGUAUAACAGAUGAUUCUCGCUUAGGGCUGUUACCUGAGCACACUUGCGAGAGGCCCCGCGUUCGAAUCGCGGUAAGACCC